rnacentral:tRNA from 1 species
AAUAAGUUAGUAUAAUUGAUUACAUUGGGCUCAUACCCUGAAGAUGGUUUUUACCACUUAUUU